UACAAACUCUCCACUAAUUAGGUGAGUGAAUAAUGAGUCAAUAUCAAAUUUAAAUAUCAUAAUAAUUAAAGAAAAUUAAAUUUUAAUUAUUAUUAUUAUUGAUACAUCCAAGUCGCAUCAAGAACAAGUUCGAGGUGAAACGAAGUGAAGCGCGAAGUGUCAUCAUCCUACUCCAUUGAAAUUACUUAUGCGCGCACGUAAAUGGAAAAUACAGAAUCAAACUCGAAACAAGAAAACGCACCGAAUUGGAACUUCAAUUGCAAACAGGGAUUAAUGGAAAGGCUUGUGAAAUUUAUGUGCUUGCGUUUGGAAUGGUUUCUGUUGGUUUGAAAGUUUUGAUGCCAGUUCACAUUAUGUGCAGUGGACUCUUUUGGUGAUCUGUUAGAUGGAUGUUGCAGGGUCCAACUUCUAUUAAUUAUGAGGAGUUCGGUUUUGGUUUUAUUAUUGAAAAAACUGCAGGUUCAAAUUGUUUUAAACUUCUAUUGGGCAUAUGCUAUGGGUUGUGUUGUUGAAACAUUAUGCCUAUUGAAUGGCUCUUAUUUCCUGCUAUGCCUUUUUAAUUUGAGAUAUUUGGAAAAAUGAUGAUCAUGAUGUUGAAAACCUGGACUGUGUAUGGACCGAAGGAUUGCUAAUCCUUUGCAUUUGUGCUACAUAUUCUAUUAGUUAUGCAAAUCACUUUAGGCUAAUGUUAGUGAAUUGGAUUUUUCGAUAGUUAAUGGUUGAAUUGAAGUCAAA